GAUCCAUUGCUUGCGAUAUUGUUAAAAUAGGGACCAUCUUUCUUAAAAAGGUUCCAUAAAACCGGAAGUUUUAGUGUACACUAACAACAGAAGAAAAAGGUCCUAUAGUGUAGUGGUUAUCACUUUCGGUUCUGAUCCGAACAACCCCAGUUCGAAUCCGGGUGGGACCUUCCCUUCAUUUUUCGUAUUUUACGAAAUUUAAACCAUCAUUUUUUUUUUUUGAACCAAUGCGAGAAAAAAAUAAAAAGAGAAAGGUAAGAAAAAGAAACCAACCUCUAUACAGAUACAAUCGCUCAUCUCGAUAUACUUAUUUUUACAUACCAGAGAUAU
rnacentral:tRNA from 1 species